rnacentral:rRNA from 1 species
UACAGGGGGGGCAAGCGUUGUUCGGAAUUACUGGGCGUAAAGGGCCAGUAGGCGGCCAACUAAGUCCGACGUGAAAUCCCCAGGCUUAACCUGGGAACUGCGUCGGAUACUGGAUGGCUUGAAUUCGGGAGAGGGAUGCAGAAUUCCAGGUGUAGAGGUGAAAUGCGUAGAUAUCUGGAGGAACACCGGUGGCGAAGGCGGCAUCCUGGACCAAUUCUGACACUGAGGAGCGAAAGCCAGGGGAGCAAACGGG